UACGGGGGGGCAAGCGUUGUUCGGAAUUACUGGGCGUAAAGGGCUCGUAGGCGGCCAACUAAGUCAGACGUGAAAUCCCUCGGCUUAACCGGGGAACUGCGUCUGAUACUGGAUGGCUUGAAUCCGGGAGAGGGAUGCGGAAUUCCAGGUGUAGCGGUGAAAUGCGUAGAUAUCUGGAGGAACACCCGUGGCGAAGGCGGCUCUCUGGAACGCAACUGACGCUGAGACGCGAAA
rnacentral:rRNA from 1 species